GAAAUUUUCAGAUGAAUCGGACAACCCGUUGUUGGGUUGCUGCCCCUGAAUUGGUAAUUUUAAGGAAAUUUUGCUGUUUUUUGUUAUUAUCUUAAAUAUUAUUAUAGAUAGAGCUAAACUGUAAACAGCAAUAAUGUUCAGCAAAGUAAGAUUUACAAAUAAGUCAAAGUGACCGAAAUGGUCAGUUGAUCCCUUUAGGAGUUAUUGCCCUUUAUAGUCAAUUUUU
rnacentral:lncRNA from 1 species